GAUGAAGAACGCAGCGAAAUGCGAUAAGUAAUGUGAAUUGCAGAAUUCAGUGAAUCAUCGAAUCUUUGAACGCACCUUGCGCCCUUUGGCUAUUCUGAAGGGCAUGCCUGUUUGAGUAUCAUGAACACCUCAACUCUCAUGGUUCGCCAUGAUGAGCUUGGACUUUGGGGGUCUUGCUGGCCUACGGUCGGCUCCUCUCAAAUGAAUCAGCUUGCCAGUGUUUGGUAGAGUCGCAGGUGUGAUAACUAUCUACGCUUGUGGUUUUCUGCCAGAUAACCUUCAGUGAUGGAGGUUCGCCGGAGCUUAUAAAUGUCUCUCCCCAGUGAGGACAGCUUUUUGAACGUUUGAUCUCAAAUCAGGUAGGACUACCCGCUGAACUUAAGCAUAUCAAUAAGCGGAGGA
rnacentral:misc_RNA from 1 species